GGCCAGUUAGCUCAGUCACUUGAGCGUGGCGGUAACGACGCCAAGGCUGUGGGUUCGAUUCCCUUUCAGUCCC
rnacentral:tRNA from 1 species